GACGAACGCUGGCGGCGUGCUUAACACAUGCAAGUCGAACGGAAAGGCCCUGCUUUUGUGGGGUGCUCGAGUGGCGAACGGGUGAGUAACACGUGAGUAACCUGCCCUUGACUUUGGGAUAACUUCAGGAAACUGGGGCUAAUACCGGAUAGGAGCUCCUGCUGCAUGGUGGGGGUUGGAAAGUUUCGGCGGUUGGGGAUGGACUCGCGGCUUAUCAGCUUGUUGGUGGGGUAGUGGCUUACCAAGGCUUUGACGGGUAGCCGGCCUGAGAGGGUGACCGGCCACAUUGGGACUGAGAUGCGGCCCAGACUCCUACGGGAGGCAGAAGUGGGGAAUAUUGCACAAUGGGCGGAAGCCUGAUGCAGCAACGCCGCGUGCGGGAUGACGGCCUUCGGGUUGUAAACCGCUUUCGCCUGUGACGAAGCGUGAGUGACGGUAAUGGGUAAAGAAGCAACGGCUAACUACGUG
rnacentral:rRNA from 1 species